rnacentral:rRNA from 1 species
UAACGGCGAGUGAAGCGGCAACAGCUCAAAUUUGAAAUCCGGCCCCCCGCGGCCCGAGUUGUAAUUUGCAGAGGACGCUUUGGGCGAGGUGCCUUCCGAGUUCCCUGGAACGGGACGCCGUAGAGGGUGAGAGCCCCGUACGGUCGGCGGCCGAGCCCGUGUAAAGCUCCUUCGACGAGUCGAGUAGUUUGGGAAUGCUGCUCCAAAUGGGAGGUAAACCCCUUCUAAAGCUAAAUACCGGCCAGAGACCGAUAGCGCACAAGUAGAGUGAUCGAAAGAUGAAAAGCACUUUGAAAAGAGAGUUAAAAAGCACGUGAAAUUGUUGAAAGGGAAGCGCUUGUGGCCAGACUUGCGCCCGGCAGCUCAGCCGUCCCCAUCCCGGGGCGGUGUAUUCUGCCGGGCUCAGGCCAGCAUCAGUUUCCGGUCGGGGAGAAAGGCGGCGGGAACGUGGCUCUUCGGAGUGUUAUAGCCCGCCGCCAUGCCCUUCCGGGGACUGAGGUUCGCGCCCCGCAAGGAUGCUGGCGUAAUGGCCACCAGCGACCCGUCUUGAAACACGGACCAAGGAGUCGUCCUAGCAUGCGAGUGUUCGGGUGCCAAACCCCCUACGCGCAAUGAAAGUGAACGGAGGUGAGAGCUUCGGCGCAUCAUCGACCGAUCCUGAUGUUCUCGGAUGGAUUUGAGUAGGAGCAUGCUGGGCCGGACCCGAAAGAAGGUGAACUAUGCUUGUAUAGGGCAAAGCCAGAGGAAACUCUGGUGGAGGCUCGCAGCGGUUCUGACGUGCAAAUCGAUCGUCAAAUAUGAGCAUGGGGGCGAAAGACUAAUCGAACCUUCUAGUAGCUGGUUUCCGCCGAAGUUUCCCUCAGGAUAGCAGUGUUGAGCUCAGUUUUAUGAGGUAAAGCGAAUGAUUAGGGACUCGGGGGCGCUUAUUAGCCUUCAUCCAUUCUCAAACUUUAAAUAUGUAAGAAGCCCUUGUUGCUUUGGUGAACGCGGGCAUUCGAAUGUAUCAACACUAGUGGGCCAUUUUUGGUAAGCAGAACUGGCGAUGCGGGAUGAACCGAUCGCGAGGAUAAGGUGCCGGAGUGGACGCUCAUCAGACACCACAAAAGGUGUUAUCACAUCUUGACAGCAGGACGGUGGCCAUGGAAGUCGGAACCCGCUAAGGACUGUGUAACAACUCACCUGCCGAAUGUGAUAGCCCUGAAAAUGGAUGGCGCUCAAGCGUCCCACCCAUACCUCGCCUUCAGGGUAGAAACGACGCCCUGAAGUAGGCGGACGUGGGGGUCCGUGACG